UACGGGGGGGGCAAGCGUUGUUCGGAAUUACUGGGCGUAAAGCGCGCGUAGGCGGACCUGCAAGUCGGGGGUGAAAGCCCGAGGCUCAACCUCGGAACUGCCUUCGAUACUGCGGGUCUCGAGUCCGGGAGAGGUGAGUGGAAUUCCUAGUGUAGAGGUGAAAUUCGUAGAUAUUAGGAAGAACACCAGUGGCGAAGGCGGCUCACUGGCCCGGUACUGACGCUGAGGCGCGAAAGCGUGGUGAGCAAACAGG
rnacentral:rRNA from 1 species